GUGGAGACACUGAAGACAAAAAUGUAGGAUGCAGACCAGACACAUGUGUCCCUUAGCUCUCCUCCAACCUCAUCGUGGAUCAGCAGGCCUGGCCGCAGCACCUGCCAGAUCGCAUGGCUGCCUCUUCCCACAAGGUGGUAAAUGUAUGAAUGAGUCAAAUCCUACAGCUUCCAGAAUGACCUUGCGGGAAGUGUGGUGCAAGACAAGGAACAUUGUGCUCAUUCCAGGAGAGGGAAGAAUAUCCAUUGUCAGCGUAUAGCAGCACAAUAGUUUUGCACAAAAUCCAUUCAUAAUGGAUUGAAGACCUAAAUCUGCAACCUGAUUAUUAGAGAACAUUAUC
rnacentral:lncRNA from 1 species